AGGAAGAUUGCGGCAAUAACAGGUCUGUGAUGCCCUCAGAUGUCCCGGGCCGCACACGUGCUACAUUGAUUAGCGCAGUGCGCAUACUUUCAAUAUGAUACAUUAGAUUGGAUUGUUCUGUUGAGCUCCAUCUAAUACUAUCCGGCUUGAGAAGGCUGGGUAAUCAAUUGUAAGUGCUGGUUCCUCCUCCCGUUGAGCAUUUUAAUAAUGGCCUCUCUACAUCCCUAGCAAUAUGCCUAGUGCGAUUGUAGUUGAGCCUUGCCAUUUAUGCAAGUGUCAAUUCUCAGUGGGGACAGACAUUUGAUAAUUCUUUGUCUCGUUCUUAACUAGGAAUGCCUUGUACGGGUCUUGGUUCAACAGACCACCCGGAAUACGUCCCUGCCCUUUGUACACACCGCCCGUCGCUCUUACCGAUGAAUUUCCCUGUGAGUUUGAAGGACUGAUGGUUGCAAAAUCAUUGGAAAUUCUGUCAAACAGCGAGAU
rnacentral:rRNA from 2 species